UUGGAGGGCAAGUCUGGUGCCAGCAGCCGCGGUAAUUCCAGCUCCAAUAGCGUAUAUUAAAGUUGUUGCAGUUAAAAAGCUCGUAGUUGAACUUCGGAAUCAAUGGAUUGGUCAUGCCGUUGGUAUGUACUGGUCAUAUUGGUUCUCACCUUCUAAGGAACCAUAAUGUCAUUCAUUUGAUGUUUUGGGGAAUUAGGACUGUUACCUUGAAAAAAUUAGAGUGUUUAAAGCAGGCUAACGCUUGAAUACAUUAGCAUGGAAUAAUGAAAUAGGACAUCGCAUUCUAUUUUGUUGGUUUCUAGGAUCGAUGUAAUGAUUAAUAGGGAUAGUUGGGGGCAUUAGUAUUCAAUUGUCAGAGGUGAAAUUCUUGGAUUUAUUGAAGACUAACUACUGCGAAAGCAUUUGCCAAGGAUGUUUUCAUUAAUCAAGAACGAAAGUUAGGGGAUCGAAGACGAUCAGAUACCGUCGUAGUCUUAACCAUAAACUAUGCCGACUAGGGAUCGGAUGAUGUUAAUUUUUUAAUGACUCAUUCGGCACCUUACGGGAAAC
rnacentral:rRNA from 1 species